rnacentral:rRNA from 1 species
GAUGAACGCUGGCGGCGUGCCUAAUACAUGCAAGUCGAGCGAACGGACGAGAAGCUUGCUUCUCUGAUGUUAGCGGCGGACGGGUGAGUAACACGUGGAUAACCUACCUAUAAGACUGGGAUAACUUCGGGAAACCGGAGCUAAUACCGGAUAAUAUUUUGAACCGCAUGGUUCAAAAGUGAAAGACGGUCUUGCUGUCACUUAUAGAUGGAUCCGCGCUGCAUUAGCUAGUUGGUAAGGUAACGGCUUACCAAGGCAACGAUGCAUAGCCGACCUGAGAGGGUGAGCGGCCACACUGGAACUGAGACACGGUCCAGACUCCUACGGGAGGCAGCAGUAGGGAAUCUUCCGCAAUGGGCGAAAGCCUGACGGAGCAACGCCGCGGGAGUGAUGAAGGUCUUCGGAUCGUAAAACUCUGUUAUUAGGGAAGAACAUAUGUGUAAGUAACUGUGCACAUCUUGACGGUACCUAAUCAGAAAGCCACGGCUAACUACGU